UACGUAGAGUGCGAACGACGUUGUCCCGGAACUUAAGGUUAGGGCGGUAAAGGGUACGCAGGCGGAUAGUAAAGUCAAGCGUGAAAGGUGUCGGCUUAACCGACAGACUGGCGUUUGAAACUGAGUUAUCUUGAGUGUAACAGAGGAGAGUGGAAUUUCCUAGUGUAGUGGUGAAAUACGUAGAUAUUAGGAAGAACACCAGUGGCGAAGGCGACUCUCUGGGUUAACACUGACGCUGAGGUACGAAAGCUGGGGGAGCAAACGGGAUUAGAUACCCCGGUAGU
rnacentral:rRNA from 1 species